CCUACGGGUGGCAGCAGUGGGGAAUAUUGCACAAUGGGGGGAACCCUGAUGCAGCGACGCCGCGUGGGUGAAGAAGCUUUUCGGCUCGUAAAGCCCUAUCGGCAGGGAAGAAGAUGACGGUACCUGACCAAGAAGCCGCGGCUAACUACGUGCCAGCAGCCGCGGUAAUACGUAGGGGGCAAGCGUUAUCCGGAGUUACUGGGUGGAAAGGGGGCGCAGACGGUAAUGCAAGCCAGGAGUGAAAGCCCGGGGCUCAACCCCGGGACUGCUCGUGAAACUGCAAGGGUGGAGUACAGGAGGGGCAGUCGGAAUUCCUAGUGUAGCGGUGAAAUGCGUAGAUAUUAGGAGGAACACCGGUGGCGAAGGCGGCCUGCUGGACUGUGACUGACGCUGAGGCACGAAGGCGUGGGGAGCAAACAGGAUUAGAUACCCUUGUAGUC
rnacentral:rRNA from 1 species